GAACUGCCGCUGGAUCCGCGCCGCCAGCCCAACCACCGACUGGCGGAAGAAGCGGUAGCGGUCCGGGAGGGGGAGCCCGACCGGGCGAGGCUGUGCUCCGGGGCUUGAGACCCGGCCUGGGCGCUCUCCGCGGCCCCAGGCCGCCGCGGGGCCCGGCUUCCCCCAGACUGACGCCGGGCCGGGCUUGGGCGCGAAGCGCAGCAGCAGCGCCCGACCCAGCUGCAGGCCUCGGCCCAGGGCCUGUCGCACCGCCAUGGUGGCGAGGUGACCGGAGCCAGCUGCCACCGCCACAAACGUCCGAGAAGCGGAGGACAACAACAAACUUCGGGGGCGGCGCCUGUGCGCAAGCGCGGAGACAAGGCCUUGCAUAGCUCUGGUUGGACUGGAAUUCUUCCUGUAGACUAGGCUGGCCUUCUGGAAUGUGGUGUUUACAGUUCACAGGUUAGC